AUUCUGAAUGUUGGUAUCUGGAAGAAUGGUGAUGCUGUUCAAGUAAUAAGGACAAAGGGGAACCAGGCACUGUGAGCCUCUGUGGGGUGUGUUACUCUUUUAGCUCAUGUGUUUCAAGUCAUUCUACCCCUUGCCGUCUCCACAUCCAAACCUAACUACUUUGGAUUUUAAUUGCAGCUCCUCCACCCCCACCACCUGUGAUCCGAAAUGGUGCCAGGGAUGCUCCCCCUCCCCCACCACCAUACCGAAUGCAUGGGUCAGAACCCCCGAGCCGAGGAAAGCCCCCACCUCCACCCUCAAGGACGCCAGCUGGGCCACCCCCUCCUCCUCCACCGCCCCUGAGGAAUGGCCACAGAGAUUCUAUCACCACUGUCCGGUCUUUCUUGGAUGAUUUUGAGUCAAAGUAUUCCUUCCAUCCAGUAGAAGACUUUCCUGCUCCAGAAGAAUAUAAACACUUUCAGAGGAUAUAUCCCAGCAAAACAAACCGAGCUGCCCGUGGAGCCCCACCUCUGCCACCCAUUCUCAGGUGAAGCCUGGCUUGGUCCCGUUCCUCA
rnacentral:lncRNA from 1 species